GUAUUGCUUUGUCCAUGAUACGAGAUGACAUAGAGAAGGAAGAUGCUUUCAGAGGUUUAUGUGCAAUGGUUAGAGCAAAUCCAUCCGGGGCCUUAAAUUCUCUUCUCUUUAUGUGCAAGGCAAUUGCAAGUUGGCAUG